CAAGAGACCGUGAUCGGCGAUCACCGAUCAUACACUUUUUCACGGAAAACGGCCGAUUAUGAUCGGCACACCUCUAGUAUUAGGUGUUAAAACAAUGUUUGGUGAAACUAGCCAAAGAAAAUGUGGAUUCAUUACUGUGAAAGUACGUACAAAGUCCACACAAAAAAUCAACAAAGCCUCCAGGGGCCUAGGUCUUUGUUCUACGCCAUUUUGCGAGACUAACAGUAGUAAUAGUUUCGUCAGCCAUUUUGCCCUUACGUUUCAAUAAAAUAAUGUGAAGUAACCUCAAAAAUAACGCAGUUAGCAAGCGACGCUGACAACUGCUUAAUACAUAAAAAAUGAUAGUAAUAGAGAUAGCAAAUUAGAUAAGCUGGUGCCUAAAACGAUUAAUUAAAAGGCAAUCGACGUCUGUACCCAGCUGAGGUGUCCGUUUAUCUUUAUUCAAUUAAUUUAAUGGCUAUGACAGCGAAGGUGAAAUGUACGGAAGAGGACUAGGGCCACUGGAAAAAAAAAUUCUGACUCAGCUUGACAGCACUUCUCUCUCACUAUGGUUAUCAGCCCCAUUGAAUGGCCUCAGUUGGUCCCUCCUCUGCCUGAUAGCAGGCUCAGUAGGUUCUUAUCAACCAUUCUUAUCGGUAAUCACAGCUGCUUGUCGCUGAUAGAACCUUUUUUUUUUCUUUAGCUUUUUUUUUAAAAACCUUUAUUUACAAUUUAUGUGCUAGUUUGAAUAGGACAUUAAGAAUAUUUACAACAAAUACAUGUCAGACGUAUCGGUCAUAACACUUUAAUUCAGUAUUUAAAAAUAACUCAGUAAAAUAUAAAACCGGAGGGUUUUUGUUGUGAUUGUUGUUAGCUUGAUUUAAAAGCCUUUUUUAAAAUUUACCAACUAUAUUUGAGUAUGAUAUCAAUCAUUUACACCAAAUAAAUGUAAGAAAAAUUAAGAUGUAUUUUCUUUUGUGAUUGCAUGCCAAACUGUUCUGCAAACGUUUUAAUAUUUUUGAUUGAAAUAAUAAAAAAAAAGGACGGAUCCCACAAAAACCCAAGAAGAAGAAUAAGCUGACGUCAUCUUAUGCGACACUUACACACUCCGGUGAGUGGAAACCUGCAUCUGUCAAAAUGUUUUUUAAUCUAAAACCAAAAAUACCUCCAAAGUGUUACGUUAUAAAGUCACUGAUGGUAGUUUUAGAACUUAGUGACAGUAGGAUUGUGAGGCGAAUUGUUGAAGACACGUUUGUAACUUUUACUUUGGAAGCUAGCUAAAAUAGCCUGUCAGAGGCUAAUUGUACCUGUACACUGUAAUUGUGCUUAAUAUGUUUAAUUAGCCAUGAUAGAAUCACAUAAUAAUGUUUAUAGUCAUGCUCGUUGUUGCCACUUUGUAAAAUUGGAGGGUUGCCAAAACAUCAGUACCCCUAGGCUGUGAUGAUCUCAAAGUUUUGUUUAUGAACCCUGUCUGAAUACACUGAUUGCAGCUAGGUCAUUUACUUGAAUCAAAAACGAACUUGCAUCAGUACAGGCAAAUUUCUUUCCUCCUGUCUAUGUUAUUUAUUGCUGUUGCAAGCCAGAUGAAGAGAAGUAAAGAGCUGAGAACCUGAUCUUUGAACAGACAGAGACCAUAGCUGAGGAGCAGCCUGGGAUGCUUACUGAGGAGCAUCCAAUGAUGACACCAGAGAACCAGGAAGAGACUGUGAUAGUGCUUGAUCUUGUUCCUGUUUCUCCUCCUGUUAUCCCAUCCUCUGUCUUUUCAGAAGAAGAAAUGACCCAGAAGCACCUCUCCAGCUGCCUCUCUUCCCACUCCAUCAUCUGUCUCCCCCCAUAGAUUAGCCACAUCUGCAUUCAUGUCACCUGCUGACCAUGCCAUCUCCUUAAGUCAGGGUGGCCAAUAAGAAGAGAAAGCACAGGUAAGAUCUCGGCUGACAGCUUCCUGAAAAGAUUUUUGAGUGGGAAGCCAUAAUAUAUGAGUUGGAUAAAAUGUUAAGGAAGGAUCCCUUCAAGUGUCAAGCUUGUACCCCAGAUGUGCUUUCAGUUUCAGUGGAUGGAAACUGCAAGUAUUACCAUUUAAAGAAUGCAGCAAGAUUGGAGGAACAGGCUAUAUUUCAGGACCUUUUCAUAGCCAAGGAUGAAAACGUAGGAAAAUUUAUGGACUGUAUACACAAAUCAACCAAAAAUAUUUUGUGGUGGGCAAUGGUCUGCAGCCAGGGAGAUCUCUCACAGAUCCAGCAGCAAACUGGAUGAGGAAUCUUGGAGCUAGCGGUGUGCAGACAUGGAGUGCUGCUUAGUGCUCUUAGAGAUAGGGUAUGAGAUAUUUGCAUACCCCUUGUUCUUUUAACAAAGGCUGGCCAACAGACAAUCCCUUUUUUUCCAUGGAUGUAACAUGCAAGUACUGGCCAUAUCUUGAAAACUAACAAAAAGCUGUCCUGAGCUCCAACACCUGCUUAAAAUGAAGCAAUUUCUCUCAUUUUUCCAUGGCAAAGCCCAUGAAUGUAAGACACAGAUGGACACAAAGCUUGUGCCAAGGCUCAUCGCAAGAUCAGAAAGGAGAAAACAUCUUAGCAUUGGCUUUAGAAGAUGUUGGUCACUUGAAGACUGAUACAGACACAGAAGUUCUGUCUUUGGAAGAGAUCCUGUCCGGUGACACAACAUUGCCAUGGCAACAAUCACACAGUGACUCUCAGUCUUCACACAA